ACUCUGUUGCCCAGGCUGGAGUGCAGUGGUGCAAUCACAGCUCGUUGCCAUCUCGACCUCCUGGGCUUAAGCGAUCCUCCACUCAGCCUCCCAAAUAGCUGGGACCACAGACGUGUGCUGCCUUGCCAGGGAUGGUGAUUGCUCACACCAAAGCCUUGGACCCCUCCCAGCCUGUGACCUUUGUGACCAACUCCACCUACGCAGCAGACAAGGGGAUUUGGAGUCCAGCCUUCCAGACCUGAUCUUAUACACCAGCCUCGCUUUACAUCAUGCUGCAAAAUCCUCAGGUAAUU
rnacentral:lncRNA from 1 species